rnacentral:rRNA from 1 species
CCUACGGGUGGCUGCAGUGAGGAAUAUUGGUCAAUGGGCGGGAGCCUGAACCAGCCAAGUAGCGUGAAGGAUGACAGCCCUAUGGGUUUUAAACUUCUUUUAUAAGGGAAUAAAGUGCUCCACGUGUGGGGUUUUGUAUGUACUUUAUGAAUAAGCAUCGGCUAAUUCCGUGCCAGCAGCCGCGGUAAUACGGAAGAUGCGAGCGUUAUCCGGAUUUAUUGGGUUUAAAGGGAGCGUAGACGGUUUUUUAAGUCAGCGGUAAAAUCGUGCGGCUCAACCGUACCGUGCCGUUGAAACUGGGGGACUUGAGUAUGCGCAGGGUAUGUGGAAUUCGUGGUGUAGCGGUGAAAUGCUUAGAUAUCACGAAGAACUCCGAUCGCGAAGGCAGUGUACCAAAGCAAGACUGACACUGAGGCUCGAAAGUGCGGGUAUCAAACAGGAUUAGAUACCCUAGUAGUC